rnacentral:rRNA from 1 species
AACGAACGCUAGCGGCGUGCCUCAAACAUGCAAGUCGAACGAGAAAGUUCCUUCGGGAAUGAUUACAGUGGCGCACGGGUGCGUAACACGUAGCUAAUGUGCCCUCUCGCUGGGGACAACUCCGGGAAACCGGAGCUAAUACCGAAUGAUCUGACUUUGUCUGCGGACUAGGUUGGUAAAGCCUUCGGGCGCGAGAGGAUCGGGCUGCGGCCCAUUAGCUUGAUGGUGGGGUAAAGGCCUACCAUGGCAACGAUGGGUAGCUGGUCUGAGAGGAUGAUCAGCCACACUGGAACUGAAACACGGUCCAGACUCCCACGGGAGGCAGCAGUUGGGAAUAUUGCACAAUGGGGGAAACCCUGAUGCAGCAACGCCGCAUGAGUGAAGAAGGGUUUCGGCUCGUAAAGCUCUUUCAGCAGGGAAGAAAGGCAACUUGACGGUACCUGCAGAAGAAGCACCGGCUAACUCCG